rnacentral:rRNA from 1 species
CCUACGGGAGGCUGCAGUGAGGAAUAUUGGUCAAUGGGCGCGAGCCUGAACCAGCCAAGCCGCGUGAAGGAUGACUGCCCUACGUGUUGUAAACUUCUUUUGUAAAGGAAUAAAGGCAGGCACGUGUGCCUGUAUGAAUGUACUUUAUGAAUAAGGAUCGGCUAACUCCGUGCCAGCAGCCGCGGUAAUACGGAGGAUCCGAGCGUUAUCCGGAUUUAUUGGGUUUAAAGGGUGCGUAGAUGGGUUGUUAAGUCAGUUGUGAAAGGUCGCGGCUCAACCGUAAAAUUGCAUUUGAUACUGGCAGCCUUGAGUUGAGUUGAGGUAGGCGGAAUUCGUGGUGUAGCGGUGAAAUGCUUAGAUAUCACGAAGAACUCCGAUUGCGAAGGCAGCUUACUAAACUGCCACUGACGUUGAUGCUCGAAAGUGUGGGUAUCAAACAGGAUUAGAUACCCGUGUAGUC